rnacentral:rRNA from 1 species
GCCUACGGGGGGCAGCAGUGGGGAAUAUUGCGCAAUGGGCGAAAGCCUGACGCAGCGACGCCGCGUGAGGGAUGAAGGUCUUCGGAUCGUAAACCUCUGUCAGCAGGGAAGAACGGUCACUGUGCUAAUCAGCAGUGAAUUGCCGGUACCUGCAAAGGAAGCACCGGCUAACUCCGUGCCAGCAGCCGCGGUAAUACGGAGGGUGCGAGCGUUAAUCGGAAUUACUGGGCGUAAAGCGCUCGUAGGCGGUAUGUCAAGUCAAGGGUGAAAUCCCCGCGCUCAACGUGGGAACUGCCUUUCAAACU